rnacentral:tRNA from 1 species
ACAAAUUUUGUAAUACUUCUAUUAACAUUUGUCAAAAAAAUAUUUAAGUGCUCACUCUUUUAUAUUAAAAUUCAAUUAGUG